CCUACGGGAGGCAGCAGUGAGGAAUAUUGGUCAAUGGGCGAGAGCCUGAACCAGCCAAGUCGCGUGAAGGAUGACGGCCCUACGGGUUGUAAACUUCUUUUGUCAGGGAGCAAUUGGGUCCACGCGUGGGCUUAGCGAGAGUACCUGAAGAAAAAGCAUCGGCUAACUCCGUGCCAGCAGCCGCGGUAAUACGGAGGAUGCGAGCGUUAUCCGGAUUUAUUGGGUUUAAAGGGUGCGUAGGCGGAAUAUCAAGUCAGCGGUAAAGAUUCGGGGCUCAACCCCGUCGUGCCGUUGAAACUGGUGUUCUUGAGUGGGCGAGAAGUAUGCGGAAUGCGUGGUGUAGCGGUGAAAUGCAUAGAUAUCACGCAGAACUCCGAUUGUGAAGGCAGCAUACCGGCGCCCAACUGACGCUGAAGCACGAAAGCGUGGGUAUCGAACAGGAUUAGAUACCCUUGUAGUC
rnacentral:rRNA from 1 species